GCCCUGCUAGCUCAGUCGGUAGAGUAUGAGACUCUUAAUGUCAGGACGGUGGGUUCAUGCCCCAUGAUGGGUA
rnacentral:tRNA from 1 species